CCAUAGCAACCCACUCCUGUGCAUAGAGAUUCCGAUGAAUUCCCUGGUCUUACGUGACAGAACUGCAUGACUGCUGCAGGACGCUGCGUCUGCCAGGGCAAUGCCUCCGAUCUCCAGCCGUGUGCAGCACGCAAAAACAGCCCAGGAGGAAUUAUCAGCCUGCUCUUUUGGGGGCAGGAAGCCUUCGGCAGCACAGGCGCAGCCACUGCUCCAGGCCCUUCCCAAGGAAGGCACGGGGUCAGCGUCCUGCGGGUGCACUCCUCCGCAGAGGGCUCCGUUUGCAAGACCACCCGACACAUCCGCAACAGCAGCAGCGGGGCUGCAAGCCUCCACCAUGCAACUGCUCGGGAGCAUUGCAUGCCCUCCUGCGAGACGCCUGGAGCUGCGGGCUCUGCUUCCUACACAUCUCCUGCAAGCUCCCUCCAGCAUCUCCACCCGCCCCGCAGCAGGAAGCGGUGGCGGCUGCACGGUGUCACUGCGGUCACCCAACUUGCUCUGCUCGCCCAGGAAGUCCCUUGGCAAGGCGCAGGGCUGCAGAAGCAAACGCUGGCUUGCACUUUGCGACGCAAACCUGGGUUUCGAAUCGAGAGGAGCCUUCCACUCCCCCGCUGUAAAGCAAUAAGAAACAGCCACAUAUUGUUUUUUUUUUUUUUUUUUUUUU